UUCAAGCUUUAGAACUUGGAGGAAGGCUUUACCUGCAACAGGUCUCCAAGGUCUCAACUUGCCACCUGCAGACCUCAGCAAUUCUUUGUAUUCACAAUCUGCUGUCGUGAGGUGAGCAGCUUAUUCCAUCACACACUCCUCAUCAUGAUGUGCUUCAUCACCAUGAGCCCAAAAGCAAUGAAGCCAAUCAAUCAUGGGCUGGAACUUCCAAAACCGUGCUAUAAACUGCGAACAAUGAUCCUGUCUUAGCAGCUAACAGGUCACAGUGGAACGAAGUGGAACUUAAUUUACUGAAAUUGAUGGCUGCUGUGCUUUGAAGGCAUCGUGGAGUUGGGAUGAUGGAAGGGGUUAGCACCAAAGCCAAGUUCAAACAAAGGAGGCCGAGAAAAUGGUACCCGGACAAUGGGAACCAUAUUCAAGAACCAUGAGGUGUGAUCUGCAGCCGGCACUGGGGAUUUAAAGACUGCUUAGUCUUGAUUAAUAGCAGCCAUAAAAAUAAAAUGCUGAGCCAGGGAAAAACAAAA